rnacentral:rRNA from 1 species
CCUACGGGAGGCUGCAGUGGGGAAUAUUGGACAAGGGGGGGAACCCUGAUCCAGCCAUGCCGCGUGUGUGAAGAAGGCCCUCGGGUUGUAAAGCACUUUCAGUGAGGAAGAACGCCUGGUGGUUAAUACCCAUCAGGAAAGACAUCACUCACAGAAGAAGCACCGGCUAACUCCGUGCCAGCAGCCGCGGUAAUACGGAGGGUGCGAGCGUUAAUCGGAAUUACUGGGCGUAAAGCGCGCGUAGGUGGCUUGAUAAGCCGGUUGUGAAAGCCCCGGGCUCAACCUGGGAACGGCAUCCGGAACUGUCAAGCUAGAGUGCAGGAGAGGAAGGUAGAAUUCCCGGUGUAGCGGUGAAAUGCGUAGAGAUCGGGAGGAAUACCAGUGGCGAAGGCGGCCUUCUGGACUGACACUGACACUGAGGUGCGAAAGCGUGGGUAGCAAACAGGAUUAGAUACCCCUGUAGUC